AAACCAGUGGGGACUGGCUUUCAGUUAAAGGUCACCGUAUGCUGUUUGUCCUCCCAG
rnacentral:miRNA from 1 species